rnacentral:rRNA from 1 species
GAUGAACGCUGGCGGCGUGCUUAACACAUGCAAGUCGAACGGAAAGGCCCAAGCUUGCUUGGGUACUCGAGUGGCGAACGGGUGAGUAACACGUGGGUGAUCUGCCCUGCACUUCGGGAUAAGCCUGGGAAACUGGGUCUAAUACCGGAUAGGACCACUUCUUGGAUGUUGUGGUGGAAAGUUUUUUCGGUGUGGGAUGAGCUCGCGGCCUAUCAGCUUGUUGGUGGGGUAAUGGCCUACCAAGGCGUCGCCGGGUAGCCGGCCUGAGAGGGUGUACGGCCAAAUUGGGACUGAGAUACGGCCCAGACUCCUACGGGAGGCAGCAGUGGGGAAUAUUGCACAAUGGGCGCAAGCCUGAUGCAGCGACGCCGCGUGGGGGAUGACGGCCUUCGGGUUGUAAACUCCUUUCGCUAGGGACGAAGCGUUUUGUGACGGUACCUGGAGAAGAAGCACCGGCUAACUACGUG